rnacentral:lncRNA from 1 species
CAGGAGGCUGACUUCUAUGGUUCCAUCACACGGGCUCCCUACCCCUGAGUUUUCCUGUUGGAAUUGACCAACUGAAGGCAUGGUAAAGCCAUCAGGGGAUGGGAGGAAGGAGAGGUUGGUUUGUUGUUCCUCUCCCUCCUCCCAAGUGGGCUGAGCUUCUGGCAGAACUACAGGCCUCUAGCAACACUUCUGUCACAGACUCAUCUUCCUUCAGCUGUAGCUCUCUGAGAUCUGCUAACAUCGUUCCUCACUGUCACUCCUGCAGACUGAGUGGAAGGACUCGAGCAGAGGUACAUGGCAGCAGUCAGAAUAAAGAGUAGUGAAUGCAGGAGAUGGUGCAAACGUGGAGAAGUAAUGGAAACGGCAACUUAUUGGACAGAUGCAGAGGGGUUGAUGGCCACGAGACUAAAACCAGCAGCUGUCCAGAUUCCUGGCCUCUCAUUACAGAUUCAUCUCAUACUAAGAGAGAAUUCCUUGAGACUCCAUCUCUCUUUUGUUCCGGCACUAAGGGAGUGAUAACCCUGGACAUAAUCCAUCAGGAUGGGAGGUUGCUGGAGAAUUAUUCUGAACGAAAGACAGGAGACAGUCGGAGGCUAUUGUGAG